GAAGAAGGCCUUCGGGUUGUAAAGCACUUUUAUCGGGAGCGAAAUACCAUUGGCUAAUAACCGAUGGGGCUGACGGUACCCGAGGAAUAAGCACCGGCUAACUUCGUGCCAGCAGCCGCGGUAAUACGAAGGGUGCAAGCGUUAAUCGGAAUUACUGGGCGUAAAGGGUGCGUAGGCGGUUAGUUAAGUCUGUUGUGAAAUCCCCGGGCUCAACCUGGGAAUGGCAAUGGAUACUGGCUAGCUAGAGUGUGUCAGAGGAUGGUGGAAUUUCCGGUGUAGCGGUGAAAUGCGUAGAGAUCGGAAGGAACAUCAGUGGCGAAGGCGGCCAUCUGGGACAACACUGACGCUGAAGCACGAAAGCGUGGGGAGCAAACAGGAUUAGAUACCCUGGUAGUCCACGCCCUAAACGAUGCGAACUGGAUGUUGGUCUCAACUCGGAGAUCAGUGUCGAAGCUAACGCGUUAAGUUCGCCGCCUGGGGAGUACGGUCGCAAGACUGAAACUCAAAGGAAUUGACGGAAUCGAAUU
rnacentral:rRNA from 1 species